AAAUUCUGGCAUGUAUAAUGAUUUGCUGAUCAAGUGCAAUGAUCAAAAGUUCCAGCUCAACACUGCUGUGCUGGAAGGCCUGUUGCAAACAUGUUUCAUCACCUAAGGGAGCCAGUGCUGAGUCACUGCAAAACAUAGCAUACAUCUCUACUCUGUGAGUCAGCGCUUCUUCGUCAGCUCCUCCCAUUCCCUCUAUUUUACUCAGGAACCUCUGGAUCACAUUGUUCUCUUUAAGCAGCAAAUUCUUCCCAUUAUCAGAAACUGACAUGCCCAAAAGCAUUCCUAACUCUGAAUGUCUUGUUCCAUACCUCGCCACGGUUUCUGCAGAGGCGUUUGCAGAAUUAGGUCAUGUUUUGGUUGUUUCAGUUAGAGGAGCAUGGUGAGGCUAAACUGAACUAUAGCUAAGGCUGUAGAGGUGAGCUGUUCCUGUUUUUUUUGGUGGGUGCUGUGGCUGGGUUUCCCCCUCUAUUAUACAUGUCCUCUGCUUGAACACACCACUGGGCAGCAGCUGAGGAAGGGUAAAAUCUGUGGGGGCUGUUCAGGGAAAUGCCUGAGUUGUUUUCUGGGUAGAUGUUUUUCACUGCUGAUAAAUAACAUUGCAGGCCAUUUGUCUCAUACUGUGCUUUCCGUUCCUGAUGUCAACAACAAGCGACCACCUGCAACUUUAUUUAUUUCCACGAGAAUGGUGGAUAUGUCAUGUCAUGCUACAAAUAUCAAGUGAUUAAAUGAUUAACAAAUUGCGCAGUUGUAUUUCCUGACCUUCACGAACAUCAACAUUAAAUGGUGUUCAAUUGGGGUGUCAUUUACAAAUAUGUAUGUAAAGUAAAAGUAAGGUAAAUGACAUUUUAAACAUAGGAAAGGUGUCCUUCACAGUAACCUAUGUGCAUGCAACAGAUAAAUAAAUGAAAACAUUAACUUUUGGAAAAAUCCAGCAACCGUACUCGACUUUUACUGGCGCACAAUAGAAAGUGUCCUGACUUGGUGCAUUACAGUGCGGUUUGGCAAUCUGAGCACACAGGCCCAACAACUUGAUCAGACGACUGCAUCAAAAAUAAUCGACAGUGAUGUUUUACAACUCCAGCAGAUCUACUUAGACAGAUGCAGGAUAAGAGCCCAGUCUAUAAUCACGGACUCCUCUCAUCCAGUUCAUGCAUUGUUCUACCCCCUCCUCUACGGCAAUACCUCUGUAGCAUCUCAGCACACACCUCCCACACAGCUUCUUCCCUCAGGCGAUCAGGAUCUUCAACAGCAGCUGGCUUUUCAUACCUCACCAGACUCAUCUCACAUACAACAUCCUCUUCCCUCAAUACAUAUAAACUUUGCACGUCCUCAUUUUAAACGUACCUCAUAUGCAUCUUUUUUUGCACAGUUUAGUGUUUGUCAUCCUCAUCCUGUUGUAUCAUGCCUUUCACUACACUCGUAUUAGCAGUGAUACUUAGUAUUACUCAGUAUUCCACUAUUUACAAUAUUCGCUAUUAACUUUUAAACCGUAUCACUUACUUCGCACCAUUCACUCCACAUGCAGUCUGAAUUGCACAAUGCCUUUUCUCCCACUCAUGUGAACUCUCUGCCUACCCUGUCGUCUUGUAUGUUGUCUUGUAUGGCGUGCCCCUGGAGCACAAUUUCAUUCAUUGUUUCUCAUGUACUUUGUAUUCUGGAAACAUUUGACUGUAAAGUGAACUUGAACUUGAAUUAAAUCUUAUUGUCUCUGCA